rfam:Triticum aestivum genome assembly, contig: Triticum_aestivum_CS42_TGACv1_scaffold_361737_4DS
UUUAUACUCCCUUCGUCCGAAAAAGUUUGUCCCUCAAAUAAAUGUAUGUAGCAUCAAGUUAGUGUUAGAUACAUCCAUUUGAGCCAUUUAAGGGACAAGCUUUUCUGGACGGAGGGAAUAUGAG